rnacentral:rRNA from 1 species
AGUGAACGCUGGCGGUAGGCCUAACACAUGCAAGUCGAACGGCAGCACAGUAAGAGCUUGCUCUUACGGGUGGCGAGUGGCGGACGGGUGAGGAAUACAUCGGAAUCUACUUUUUCGUGGGGGAUAACGUAGGGAAACUUACGCUAAUACCGCAUACGAUCUACGGGUGAAAGCAGGGGAUCUUCGGACCUUGCGCGAUUGAAUGAGCCGAUGUCGGAUUAGCUAGUUGGCGGGGUAAAGGCCCACCAAGGCGACGAUCCGUAGCUGGUCUGAGAGGAUGAUCGGCCACACUAGAACUGAGACACGGUCCAGACUCCUACGGGAGGCAGCAGUGGGGAAUAGUGGACAAUGGGCGCAAGCCUGAUCCAGCCAUACCGCGUGGGUGAAGAAGGCCUUCGGGUUGUAAAGCCCUUUUGUUGGGAAAGAAAAGCAGCAGGUUAAGACCCCGCUGUUCUGACGGUACCCAAAGAAUAAGCACCGGCUAACUUCGUG